GCCGUGGUGGUGGAAUUGGUAGACACGCAGGUUUCAGGUACCUGUGGGAGUUAAUCCUGUGGGGGUUCGAGUCCCCCCCUCGGCACUA
rnacentral:tRNA from 1 species